rnacentral:ncRNA from 2 species
UUCAUACGGAUGAAUUCAGGUGCUCUUUCAAGGAUGAAAGAGUUAAAAGGGAAGCUGGUGCAAAUCCAGCGCGGUCCCGCCACUGUAAAUGGGAGUGACUUGCAAGUUGCCACUGUAGCGUGUGCUAUGGGAAGGCGCAAGGAACGUUGACCAGAAGCCAGGAGACCUGCCUGAAUUUCGCCACACCA